GUAAAUGAUUAAUGCAUUAACCAGAAGUGAAUGCCAACUUGAGCUAGGCUUUUGCGACCAAAAACGAGAAAGUGAAACUGAUUUUCCGGGCCAGCCUUGGAUAUAUACUGGACACGAGAAAGGAAUCUUAUUAGAAUUUCAUCUCUAAGGCCUUCCUCUUGUCUCUGAUACUUACAAAAGCUAACUUCUUGUCAACAUUGCAAUAUGAUAACAUUUGCAUGAAUAGAGUUGGGCUUUUAUAUAAAAUUCAAGGAAAAAACAGAGAUAUAAGGAAGAGAGGUGUCCUAAUAGCUUACUUUUUCAGUACAUCCAAAUUUAAAAUUAUUCAAUGUACUAGGUAUAAUUAAAUAUAAUGUACCUUUUUUUUUCUCUUAAAUAACCAAAAUUUACGAGUAAAUCCUAACACAAAUCUGAAAAACUAUUACAU
rnacentral:misc_RNA from 1 species